UGACCUUCUGAAGCCAUUUUGGUGUGCCC
rnacentral:piRNA from 1 species